rnacentral:rRNA from 1 species
AACGAACGCUGGCGGCAGGCCUAACACAUGCAAGUCGAACGCACCGCAAGGUGAGUGGCGCACGGGUGAGUAACACGUGGGAAUGUAUCCUUUGGUUCGGAAUAACGUCUGGAAACGAACGCUAAUACCGGAUGAGCCCUACGGGGGAAAGAUUUAUCGCCAAAGGAGCAGCCCGCGUCUGAUUAGCUAGUUGGUGGGGUAAAGGCCUACCAAGGCGACGAUCAGUAGCUGGUCUGAGAGGAUGAUCAGCCACACUGGGACUGAGACAUGGCCCAGACUCCUACGGGAGGCAGCAGUGGGGAAUAUUGGACAAUGGGCGGAAGCCUGAUCCAGCCAUGCCACGUGAGUGAUGAAGGCCUUCGGGUUGUAAAGCUCUUUCGCACACGACGAUGAUGACGGUAGUGUGAGAAGAAGCCCCGGCUAGCUUCGUGCCAGCAGCCGCCGUAAAAC